CCUACGGGAGGCAGCAGUGGGGAAUAUUGGGCAAUGGGCGCAAGCCUGACCCAGCAACGCCGCGUGAAUGAAGAAGACUUUCGGGUUGUAAACUUCUUUUAUCAGGGACGAAGGAAGUGACGGUACCUGACCAAUAAGCCACGGCUAACUACGUGCCAGCAGCCGCGGUAAUACGUAGGGGGCAAGCGUUAUCCGGAUUUACGGGGUGUAAAGGGAGUGUAGGCGGGAGUGCAAGUCAGAUGUGAAAUCUAUGGGCUCAACCCAUAGCCUGCAUUUGAAACUGUACUGCUGGAGUGCUGGAGAGGCAAGCGGAAUUCCGGGUGUAGCGGUGAAAGGCGUAGAUAUACGGAGGAACACCAGUGGCGAAGGCGGAUUGCUGGACAGUAACUGACGCUGAGGCGCGAAAGCGUGGGGAGCAAACAGGAUUAGAUACCCGUGUAGUC
rnacentral:rRNA from 1 species